CUCUGCUAACAUGUGGAGGUGGGGUUCUACUCUGCUAACAUGGAGGUGGGGUUCUACUCUGCUAACAUAUGGAGGUGGGGUUCUACUCUGCUAACAUAUGGAGGUGGGGUUCUACUCUGCUAACAUGGAGGUGGGGUUCUACUCUGCUAACAUGUGGAGGUGGGGUUCUACUCUGCUAACAUGGAGGUGGGGUUCUACUCUGCUAACAUGGAGGUGGGGUUCUACUCUGCUAACAUAUGGAGGUGGGGUUCUACUCUGCUAACAUGGAGGUGGGGUUCUACUCUGCUAACAUAUGGAGGUGGGGUUCUACUCUGCUAACAUGGAGGUGGGGGUCGUAGAGCAAAAUGGAUUUGGAAGUGUGACGGCGCCGCUUGUGGCGGAUUAAGAUGCAUCCACUGUAAGGAAAACUGAAAUCUCAUGUUUAAACUGAAGGAUGUUGAUGAGGAUUUUUGCAUUGUGCUAAUGUGAUUUCAGCGGGCUGCGGAAAUCCACUCUGGGAGGGGAUCACUUAAUCCACCAAGUAUUUUCUCCUGCUCUGUAUAUUAUUUACUGCUUUCCUUUUUAUUAUUCGUUUCAAAUGCACCCUAAUCCCUAUUUAGUGCACUACUUUUGACCAGAGCUUCAUGGGCACACAUCAAAAGCAGCGCACUAAAUAGGGAAUAGCGUGCUCUUUGGUGUUCGGACUUUGUGUUUUAUUUACUUGUACUGUUUUGUUGUGGUUUUAUGUUUUACACUUAGCCUAGCGUUUAGCCUUAGCCUAGCAUUGAACCUUAGCCUAGCAUUUAGCCUUAGCCUAGCAUUUAACCUUAGCCUAGCAUUUAGCCUUAGCCUAGCAUUUAGCCUUAGCCUAGCGUUUUUUUUUAUUAACGUUUACCUUUGUCUUAUCUCAGUCAACGACAUCUGUUGAUAAAAUGUGACUGUAUUGUAAAACUGAACACUCUCAUUCAGAAUAUCUGGAUGGAGAACAUAUCUGACAAAGCCAGUUACUGGCGGAUUGACAAUUCAAUACACGAUCUCUUCUCAUAGCGCAGACCGACCAAACCAACCUUACCUUCAGCCAGGCACAGUAGAUCACCUGCUGGGCGUUGACAAAGGUGACGAUUCAACAUGUACAAUCGUCUGGAAAAUGAAAUGGCGGCCGCCGAUCAUUGUGGUGUGUUUCCUCUGAUCAUCCCCUAUCACCAGUCAUUGUGUCUUCAGAUCUAAGUGGCACUAAAGUAGUAUACUAUAUACCAACCCCUAUGGGCCCUGGUCUAAUGUAGUAUACUAUAUACCAACCCCUAUGGGCCCUG